GGAUGUGAGGGCGAUCUAGCUGCGACAUCUGUCACCCCAUUGAUCGCCAGCAUUGAUUCGGCUGAUCUGGCUGGCUAGGCAGGUGUCCUCUCCCUCCCUCACCACUCCCAGGUAUAGGAGUGUCCCAGGUAUAGGAGUGUAGUGAGGUUUCCAGUCUUCGGUCCCAGGGAUACAAUAGCUGUGCUCCCCUGCUAGACCCUCCAAAUGAGCUCAUGGACAUGCUGAAUGAAACUCUGCAUUCAUCUCUGGUCCAACUACUACAGAAAUGAUUUAUUAUGAUAAGUGUGU
rfam:Anolis carolinensis chromosome 1, whole genome shotgun sequence.